rnacentral:rRNA from 1 species
AGUGAACGCUGGCGGUAGGCCUAACACAUGCAAGUCGAACGGCAGCACAGUAAGAGCUUGCACUUACGGGUGGCGAGUGGCGGACGGGUGAGGAAUACAUCGGAAUCUACUUUUUCGUGGGGGAUAACGUAGGGAAACUUACGCUAAUACCGCAUACGACCUACGGGUGAAAGCAGGGGAUCUUCGGACCUUGCGCGAUUGAAUGAGCCGAUGUCGGAUUAGCUAGUUGGCGGGGUAAAGGCCCACCAAGGCGACGAUCCGUAGCUGGUCUGAGAGGAUGAUCAGCCACACUGGAACUGAGACACGGUCCAGACUCCUACGGGAGGCAGCAGUGGGGAAUAUUGGACAAUGGGCGCAAGCCUGAUCCAGCCAUACCGCGUGGGUGAAGAAAGCCUUCGGGUUGUAAAGCCCUUUUGUUGGGAAAGAAAAGCAGCAGGUUAAUACCCCGCUGUUCUGACGGUACCCAAAGAAUAAGCACCGGCUAACUUCGUG